AAAAAGGCAAACCCUGGAUUUCCGUGUCCAACUUCGACUGUCCGUCUUAUAUGAAAUCUUUUUAUAAUUCAUAUUUUCAUUAUUGUUAGAUGAUAAAAUAUGAUUAAUAUUCUUGACUUGUGCGUGACUUGUCUUUUUAAUUUUUUUCAUAAUUUUUUCAAAUAAGACGGACGGUCAAAUGUUGGGCACGGAAACCAGGGUUUGUCUUUUU
rfam:Oryza rufipogon genomic scaffold, chr02